rnacentral:rRNA from 1 species
AGAAUCAACGCUGGCGGCGUGCCUAACACAUGCAAGUCGAACGAGAAAGUGGAGCAAUCCAUGAGUAAAGUGGCGCACGGGUGAGUAACACGUGACUAACCUACCCUCGAGUGGGGAAUAACCUAGGGAAACCUGGGCUAAUACCGCAUAAUACCUACGGGUCAAAGGAGCAAUUCGCUUGAGCGAGGGGGUCGCGGCCGAUUAGUUAGUUGGCGGGGUAAUGGCCCACCAAGACGAUGAUCGGUA